AAAAAAAAGCUGAAAAUGAUACAUUAAUUGAAAAUUUAAAUAUUAAACUUCUGUUACCUUCUAUAAUAUACCUAAGACCCAAUGUCACAUUUUUGUCUUAGCCAAUGUGGUAUCUGUGCCUUUUUUUUCCCUUAUUAUUUCUCUGUGUUGUUAAGAAGGGUAAAAUUAAGAUCAACCUGAUUCUGCUUCUUUUUGUGUGUUCCUAUUUAACUUAUUAACUUAUCCUAUUCAUAAAGCAGAUCAGGUUGGCAAAUCACAAGUAUAAUAAUAUUUUUUUUUACAAAGACCCUUAAUUCUUCACCUUCCAAUACUGCAUGUGCCUGAUGCACACAUUCCCUUUACAGUAAUAAAUAGAAAUUCUCUUUUCUUUUACCUGUGACCCUGACUUUCAUUCAUAACGUAAUUGUCAGAAGUAGUUUAAGUAGUGAAACUAUUUUGGACUGAAACUAGAAUCGGUAUAUUACAUCCUAUUGUUUGACUUAUUGUAAAUGCAUCUAAAGUCGUUGUUUUCAAUGGUGCCAUUUUCAUAAGCAAUUACACGUACUAUUAGUUUUAUUUUUUAACUACUCAAAAAAAUACAAAAUUAUUCUGCAUUGUAAAAAAUGAAUUUUAAGGACACUUAAAAUAUGUAAUGUUAUCUAUAAAAAUAUUUAGCUAUUAAAGACUUGUCAUCAAGGCUUAUUCUUCAAACCUUUGUCCUGGAGCUAAUUCUGUUUGCUGUAUGUGGCUGCAAUGAUAUUGUCCAUUUAAUUAGCAUUUGCAUUCAUGUUUUAGUCUUGGUCUUCAUCAAGCUGCAUUUACAUGUCAACAACUUUUAUUUAACCCCCCCCCAGGUUUAAUGAAUGUGAAUGUCUAAAAGUUGCCAAAAUUGGUUAUUUCCUUCUGUAAUGAACAUUUCCUUUUUUUCAUCUCCCUAUAUUAGGAAAUCAUUUUUUGUACAUCUUUGUCUCUUAUAAAUGUUUUACCAGACUCAGACUUCAUGUGACAGUCCUAGUAAGUAACUUAACCUUUCACC